UACGUAGGGUGCAAGCGUUGUCCGGAAUUAUUGGGCGUAAAGAGCUCGUAGGCGGUUUGUCGCGUCUGCUGUGAAAACCCGAGGCUCAACCUCGGGCCUGCAGUGGGUACGGGCAGACUAGAGUGUGGUAGGGGAGACUGGAAUUCCUGGUGUAGCGGUGGAAUGCGCAGAUAUCAGGAGGAACACCGAUGGCGAGGGCAGGUCUCUGGGCCACUACUGACGCUGAGAAGCGAAAGCAUGGGGAGCGAACAGG
rnacentral:rRNA from 1 species